rnacentral:rRNA from 1 species
GACGAACGCUGGCGGCGUGCCUUAGACAUGCAAGUCGAACGGAGUAGCAAUACUCAGUGGCGAACGGCGGAGUAAUGCAUAAGCAACGUGCCCCAAAGACUGGGAUAGUCGAGGGAAACCACGGGUAAUACCAGAUGUGGUCCUUAGAUGGCAUCAUCGAGGGAUUAAAUCGAGCAAUCGGCUUUGGGAGCGGCUUAUGUCCUAUCAGCUUGUUGGUGAGGUAACGGCUCACCAAGGCUACGACGGGUAGGGGGUCUGAGAGGAUGAUCCCCCCGAGUGGGACUGCGACACGGCCCACACACCUACGGGUGGCAGCAGUUUGGAAUAUUGCACAAUGGGGGAAACCCUGAUGCAGCGACGCCGCGUGGAGGACGAAGGAUCUAGGUCUGUAAACUCCUUUUGCCAGGAAAGACUUAGGACGGUACCUGGCGAAUAAGCCCCGGCUAACUACGUGCCAGCAGCCGCGGUAAGACGUAGGGGGCGAGCGUUGUCCGGAUUUACUGGGCGUAAAGAGCGCGUAGGCGGCUAGUUAAGUGAGAAGUGAAAUCUCCAGGGCUCAACCCGGAAACUGCUUUUCAUACUGGCCAGCUGGAGGGACGCAGGGGUGACUGGAAUUUCCCGGUGUAGCGGUGAAAUGCAUUGAUAUCAUACUGCCCAGCUGGGAGGGACGGCAGGGGGUGACUGGAAUUCCCGGGGUAGCGGUGAAAUGCAUUGAUUUCGGGAGGACUCCAACAGCGAAGGGCAGGUCACUGGGCGUUUCCUGACGCUGAGGCGCGAAAGCGUGGGUAGCAAAACAGGAUUAGAUACCCUGGUAGUCCACGCCCUAAACGAUGGAUACUAGACGUAAGAGGUAUCGACCCCUCUUGUGUCGCAGCUAACGCAUUAAGUAUCCCGCCUGGGGAGUACGGCCGCAAGGUUGAAACUCAAAUGAAUUGACGGGGACCCGCACAAGCGGUGGAGCAUGUGGAUUAAUUCGAUACUAACCGAAGAACCUUACCCAGGUUUGACAUCGAUGGUAAGCCCGAGAGAUCGGGCCCUCUCUCACAAGGAGACCUGAAGACAGAUGUUGCAUGGCUGUCGUCAGCUCGUGCCGUGAGGUGUACGGUUAAGUCCGCCAACGAGCGCAACCCUCGUCCUAUGUUGCCAGCGAGUAAUGUCGGGAACUCAUAGGAGACCGCCGGUGUAAGCCGGAGGAAGGUGGGGAUGAUGUCAAGUCAGCAUGGCUCUUACGCCUGGGGCUUCACACAUGCUACAAUGGGCGCAACAAAGGGCACCGAAGCCGUGAGGUGGAGGCAAUCCCAAAAAUACGCCCCCAGUUCAGAUUGCAGUCUGCAACUCGACUGCAUGAAGGCGGAAUCGCUAGUAAACGCAGGUCAGCUAUACUGCGUUGAAUACGUUCCCGGGUCUUGUACACACCGCCCGUCAAGUCACCUGAAUUGUCUUCACCCGAAGUCCGUGGCCUAACCGUAAGGAGGGAGCGGCCGAAGGUGAGGGGAGUAAGGGGGACUA